UCUUACAUGUGUUUGAUGUCUCUUUGGUGAGGAGUUCCGAAGGUAAGAUCAAUUACUGAUUUUUCUAGAUUUAUUUUGCUCCAUUUAAAUAAACUGAGAUUAUAAAUUGAAGUAAUUAGAAGGUAGUUGCUCUUGCUUAUGUCUAAUGUUGAAACGAGAUAAUAACAAGACUGUGAGAGGAGGAUUAGUAAGAGGUUAUCUGCUGGGGCUUGCUACUUGCCAAUGAGAAGAAAAAUCUAAGUCAUAUUCUUUUGUUACUGUCGUUUGUUUUUGUCCUAUGGUUUGUAUGCCUCGAGUGUGGAAUGAUUUUAUCUUUCCAAGGAGAUGGAUUUGCUAUGUAUUCUUUGCAACACAGGGAGUCUAAGAUUAGUUCAAGGACCCUUGUUUCUUCUGAGUAGUAAGAUCUUCCUCGCAAUUGAUUUGGCUUUGGACUGCAAAGAUACAGAGACAGAUCUUUGGAAUAUAAUAUGUAGGGAUGAGUACAUGGCAUAUGAUGUAUCUUUUUGGUUGCUUGUAUAUGAUUGUUUUUAAGUAUAGUGACAUCCACUCUGUUUCUCUUUCUUUUUGGUUUCUUUGAUUGCAUUGUUUCAUCCAUUUUGUUUUUCUCUUCCACCUUGCUACAGAAACAAUUACUGUUAUGGCAUAUUUUUUUCUCGUAUGAUGUAUCAUACUCUUUGGUUUACUUAAUUAACGAACUCGAUUUCUUGAAUUGCACCUAUACUCUUGCUCACCUAAUGAUGGUUUUUUGCAGACAAAACCAAUUGACUUGUCUGAUUAAAAGAGCUCUGUGUGCGAUGUAGAGUCAGUCUCAUAUCCCAUGCUAGAUUUUUUAGUCUCUCUCUCUCUCUCUCUCUCUCUCUUUGUUAUGCUCUUUUGUCUUUGCAACAAUGGCAUAUUAGAACCAUAAAGAUGGUAUCUAAAGGGAUUUCCUUUUUCUGCCAAUCUGUCUAAACAGUUUCAUUAAAUGGUUUUUGUAUUUGUGGUCAUCUGAAAAAAAAAAAAAAUGUUGGUAACGUUUGGAUUUAGCAUGACAGAUGCUAAUCAGUGUGAAGGUGCCAGUGCAAGGGAAGGGGGCUGAGGAAAUAGUCUCAAGAAGUAUCUAGGAAGUAUUAUGUAAUAGAGCAAAGAUUGGUUGACUAUGUAAUAACUAUUGAAUUUUCAAGUUUUAUGAAAGAAAUAAUUUUUGAGCA